CUCACUUCCUCUUAUCACAUGGGUAUUCUAUCAUCUCACAUCAUCACAAUAAGAGUAUAGUACAGUAAGAUAUUUUUAGGGAGGAAGAG